rnacentral:tRNA from 1 species
AGAGGAAAUUAUAAAGUCACUGCUAAUGAUUUUUAGUCAAUUUGGUUUGACUUCUUCUU